rnacentral:misc_RNA from 1 species
GAUGAAGAACGUAGCGAAAUGCGAUACGUAGUGUGAAUUGCAGAAUUCCGUGAACCAUCAAAUCUUUGAACGCAUAUUGCGCUCGAGGCUUCGGCCGAGAGCAUGUCUGCCUCAGCGUCGGUAUUACCCCUCGCUUCUCAACCCCUGGUUGAUGCCUGCCUGCCUUUGCAGUUGGCUAGAAGCUGAUCUGGCUUUCCCAAUUGCCUUUGGUAGUUGGGUCAGCUGAAGCACAGAGGCUUGAGCAAGGACCCUUAUUGGGCUUCAACUGGAUAGGUAGAACUGGUCUUAGGACCAACUACACGAAGUUGUUGCUUGUGGUCUUUGUCUGGAGGCCAGCAGGAAACCUUUAUACCUUCGACCUGAGCUCAGGCAAGAUUACCCGCUGAACUUAAGCAUAUCAAUAAGCGGAGGA